UCCAGACUCCUACGGGAGGCAGCAGUGGGGAAUAUUGCACAAUGGGGGAAACCCUGAUGCAGCGACGCCGCGUGAGUGAAGAAGUAAUUCGUUACGUAAAGCUCUAUCAGCAGGGAAGAAAUACUGACCUUACGGUCAGCAGACGGUACCUGAGUAAGAAGCCCCGGCUAACUACGUGCCAGCAGCCGCGGUAAUACGUAGGGGGCAAGCGUUAUCCGGAUUUACUGGGUGUAAAGGGAGCGUAGACGGCAGCGCAAGUCUGAAGUGAAAUGCCGGGGCUUAACCCCGGAACUGCUUUGGAAACUGUGCAGCUAGAGUGCAGGAGAGGUAAGUGGAAUUCCUAGUGUAGCGGUGAAAUGCGUAGAUAUUAGGAGGAACACCAGUGGCGAAGGCGGCUUACUGGACUGUAACUGACGUUGAGGCUCGAAAGCGUGGGGAGCAAACAGGAUUAGAUACCCGGGUA
rnacentral:rRNA from 1 species